CGCCAAAUGAUUGUGCCUUUCCUUGGAAGCCUGAAUGGGUCCAUUGACCGACUUCGACAACUCGUCGAAAAAUGUUUCAAUGAAGACGCGAGUGAAUUUGUUCAUCUCAUUGUUGUGAUUUUUAUUUUUUUUUCCCAGCUGAGGAUGUUUGUGAAACGUUUACUCUUAUCCGUGGCAGUUUACUUUUUGGUUGAAGUUGAGUCACGAACACAAACCGGUCAGCUCCUGCCACCGCGCAAUCUCACCCUUCGUUGGCUGAGCGACUUUGAACUACAACUGUGGUGGGGACACGAGGGUUUGCCACCAAACUGUGAAUACAAUGUGUUAAAAAGAACGGCCGAUCACAACAGUGAGGAACAGAGUACUCACCAAUCACCUCCUUCAGUCUACAACCUGGCAAUGGAGGGGGGUUCCCUGUUUUUCUCUGUUCAGACCACCUGCAACCACACAAAUAGCGAGCCUUCUUUCCUCAAUGUUACAUAUCCAGAGUUGGUGAGUAACGUGCGGUGCAGCAUCAUCUCGUCGGCGCUGACUCGGUGCUCCUGGGUGCCUCUCGGCUCUCCUCGGGAUCUCGCUUUCUAUUAUCAGUUAGCGAACGAGGUGGAGGACGUGGCCUCCGCCGUCAUGUCCUUGUCAGAGUGUCCGCACUACACGCUCACCAAUGGCAUGAGGACGGGCUGCUGUCUGAAGUCCAAAGCCCAGGAGUCCAUCCUGAUGUUGUUUAACGCUACCCUGAACGGGGGUCUCGUCAAGAACACCUUUCAGGAGAAGCCUGUGCUAGUGACACCGCAUCCCCUAAAUUGGAGCGUUAGCAAAGUCCCAGGUUAUUUCAACGUGAGCUGGACUCCUCCGGAUGUUUUCGGACUACCGCAGUGGAAGUUUGUGAUCAAUUACACUGAGUGUGAUAAGGAAAAGACUCAAAUGGUCCAGGAAGUGACAUGGCUACUAUUGGGCCGAGUUUCUCACUGUCAGUACCGUAUGACCCUGAGAGCGUGCAGCCCUCGCGGAGACUCUGAAUGGAGUGAAAUCAAGUAUUUCGAGGCGGACCAUGAUGCCGACGCCGUCUUGUACGCCGCCAUCGUCAUCAUCCCGCUGCUGUGUGCCGGCCUUGCAUCGCUGGCGUGCGUGUGCUUCAGAAGGAAUCGGGAAGUCAUGUUCAGCAACGUGCCCCAACCUCGGGAUUUCCUCAGUGAUAUUCACAACAACAAGAGUGACAGACUUUUCAGCUUUAAUUUCCUGGAAAAGGAGGAAGAGGAGUGCCAAAUCAGUGUGGUGACAGAGCAACAGCAACAACCACAUUUGAAUGUUCUAUAGCGAAUUGCGAUUCAUUAUUUUAUGAUUUGUUUUGAGUUUUCUGGUUGUUUUAGAGCAGGGGUCCCCAAACUUUUUCCUGUGAGGGCCACAUAACCUUUCCCUUCUCUGAUGGCGGGCCGGUGGCAGUUUGUAACAGAAAAAGUGUGACGAUCGUAGGGGAGCUUAAAAAAAAUAUUGUUUUCCAGAAAGCCACACAUAACCAAAUAACGGUUAUUUAAUAACCCUUUCCAGGUUCUUUACAGAAAAAAAGUCAGGAAACAAAUAAUAACACUAUUAAUGAAAUAAAUAAUAACUAAACCCUCUCUGAGUUCUUCACAGAAAAAACAGGAAAUAAAUAACUAAAUAACUCUCUCUGGGUUCUUCAUAGAAAAAAAACCAUGGAACAUUAACUUUCUGUUGUGCCAUGAACAAUCUUAACAGAUAAAAGUUCAGCUCAGUUGUCAGAGCAGAACCUCUCUGACACAUAUGAGCAGUCUCUUAAAGUUCUUGUGUUCCUUCCUUAUAAUCCUUUUGUAGGUUCCAGUAGGCUUGUAGACACUGCUGUCUUUUUUGUUAAAGUUUGAUAGUGCGUCAUAGUCUGGAGUAAAAUUUGUUGUGGCAAUUCUUAGGCGAGAUCCGAGGUGUUUGUCCGUUUACCUCGAUCUGUGACGGGUAGAUGUUGACGUUCAUGUGGCUGAACGUCACGUCGCGUACGUCGAGCCAAAUUGGCAACUCUUUUAAACGCUCGUCACUGUGUUCACCCUGCUUUACUUGGGCGACAUUUUAACGGAAGGAUUCCAGGGGAAGGUUUGUGGGUGGCUUUAGCGCAAAACUGCAUCUGAAAGCUCAGCGCGCAAAUUACAAGAAUGCUGUCGUCACAGCCCACGCUCUAAAUUCGGGACUGAUACAAA